rnacentral:rRNA from 1 species
UACGUAGGGUGCGAGCGUUGUCCGGAAUUAUUGGGCGUAAAGGGCUCGUAGGCGGUCUGUUGCGUCGGGAGUGAAAACUCAGGGCUUAACCCUGAGCCUGCUUCCGAUACGGGCAGACUAGAGGUAUGCAGGGGAGAACGGAAUUCCUGGUGUAGCGGUGAAAUGCGCAGAUAUCAGGAAGAACACCAAUGGCGAAGGCAGCUCUCUGGGACGGUACUGACGCUGAGACGCGAAAGCGUGGGGAGCGAACAGG